rnacentral:lncRNA from 1 species
GCCAGGCUUCCUCCGAUCUACACCUUCACUCUAUCUCUCUCAAUCUAGUAGAAACUAGAAGAUCUAAUUCUACUCACAUUGGAUGCUAAGCCUAAAAGAAAUUUUAUUUAGAGGAGAGGUUAUCCUUCGAGGGCCAGGGGGUAACUCUAUGAUGAACUUGUUCUCCUCUAGGGGCCAGGGGGUCUGGUUAUAUAGUCCCUCCAAGUGAAUAUGGGCCGUCGGAUCAAACCGACAUUGAUUGAACGGUUAUCCUUGAUACUUUAGGUCGGUGGAGCGUAAUCCCCGAAGAGAGUCCUGAUUGGACUCCGGGAUAGGGCGGGCGCCCUAGGGGGGAGGGCGGGCGCCCUGCCCCCGGGCCCGUUUGCCUUCCCAUUCGUUCCCAUGGCUUCUGGAGUCUUCUAGAUGAUAGAAAAUUGCGCGGCAUGUUAAUAUCUCUAUGUAAACCCGACGUGUGGGCCUUUCUUCCUUAUUUCCUGAUGACCCCCUGCAGAAAUAGACAAACACCAAAACUCAUGGAAUUCUGUCAGAUAAAACCCUAAGUCUGGGUGUUGGUUGUAUUUGGAUCCUUUUAUUUAUUUAUUUAUUUGAUGAUUAUAUUUGGUACUUAAGGACCGUCAACAACUCCCCCAAGCUUACCUCUUGCUCGUCCCUGAGUAAGGAUUCCUCGUCCCCCAAGUGGUUUCAUGCCUUAAAAAUAAGAUCUUAUCUCUGAGUUAGAGUAAACUUGUUUAGACUUAAAACUUACUCAUUUUACUUUUCUCCAUGGGGCUUGUAACCGUCACUUGUGUCUUGAGUAGUUAAAAGAUAGAACGGUCAAGUCAAGCGCCAUGUCUCUUAUUCUUGAUCAGCUAUAGAUCUGGAGUUUUUGCAGAUUUUCAAAUAAAACUUAGAGAUUCCUUAUAUGAUUCUCUCAAAUCUCUCUUUUGUGGUAUUUCUGGAUCCUUUCUAAGGCAGUAAUGGUAUAUGCCUUCUCUCUCACCCUACUAUAAUAAGGUUUUGAUAUCUGGAGCUCAUAGGUGGGAGACAGAUAAUACAUACUUACAAGACAUUUAUUGCAUAGUCAAACUAUGGAUCUAGAAGAACAAGUCAAUAAGUCAAAUCAAGAUGUGCAUGUGUGGCGAGUGAAUGGUGUAUGGUGAUGAUGGUGAUAACAAUGGUGAAAGUCUAAUUCUACUUUUGCUCUUUUAAGGGGAUACAUACCUUUCUUGCACUUUGAAGCUUUUUGAGGAGAAUGAGACGCUCUAUAUUAUUUUUUUCUUUUCUCUCAGGUGGGUAUCUUGUACCCCUAAUUCUACUAUCGGACACUUGUCCAUUUUUACCUCUCGUCUCACUUUUUCUUUUCUUUCGAGGUUCCGGGCACUUGAUCCUUUUUAUUUCCUCGUAUUUUUUUUUCUUUUUCUCUUUUUUUAGAGAGCACUCAUCUCCUGAAAUAAUAUGCAAGUGGUAGUAACCAAGAUAACUCGAGCAUUUAUUUCAUAGGGAAAAACAAAAAUGUUUUUGGCUAUUCUCUCCCAGAUUAGGAGUAGAAUACUUUUAGGUGAAUCUGGAGAUGGAAUUGAGUGGAUGUAUGUGGAUGCGUACUUCCAGAGUAGAAGCAGCAUGUAUGAGUGAACGUGCAAGUGAAUCUUGAUUUUAACCGCAUGACAAGCUCCUAAGGGUCUACACAGCUUGACCACACUCAAUGCUCAUAAGCAGUAAAAAGUAAAUGUGUGGCUCAAAGUCUAGCAAGCCUGUAUAUAUGGCUGUGGUAGGAAUUUAAACUCUCAUCAUAUAGGAACUCAUCAUGUGUUAUUUUAAAGAUUUUCAAAGAUAAAAUUCUCCAGAAUUCUAGCAUCUCUAGGAACAGAUAAAUAGCAGCUCAACCUUCCCAUAUCAUAUCCGUUAACGACUUAGACUUUUGAUCAGGUACUCUUCCCACAAGUUUAGGUUUAGAGCAAGCUUUAAAUUAUAACAGUUAUGCCUAAACUUGAGAGAGAGCUCAAACUUGAAAACUAGGUACAUGGCAAAGCAACUAUUUAUCAUUUCUAUGUGAGAGCUUAUCAUGAGGGUUGAUAGCAAACUUUAUUUAUUUAUUUAUUUAGCAAACUAAGCAAACAACACAAAAUAUUUAUUUGGUUUUUUAUGAUUAUGCAUCUUUUUAUUAUUUGAGUAAAGUAUAAACGCGAGUAGAAACACUUAGCUGGAUAAAUGGAGGUGCUCUCCUCCGAACUGGAUUUUGACGUAAUUUCUUCUGAUGUAGCUAGCAGGUGACGGAGGUGUAUUUGAAUGUCGGCAGCACCCUAACAGCGAUUAAGAUGUCCUCCGUCUGCUAGUCUUCUUUGAUCCAUGAAUUCUGUGGAGCUCAAAUAGACAACAAAGCUUUGUGGAACUGGUUAAGUGUUAGCAUAAAUAUCUAGCCUUUAUCAUGUUGAGCUUCCUCAAUAAAUGUUACACUCUUUGGUAGCAUCAUAAAUUUAUUUUUAUAUUUUCAUUUUUAUAGGACAGCAAUAUAUUUAUUUUAUUUUUAUGCCACCACAGUGAAUGUUCUUAUGGGUUUUAUGCCAUGUGCAUACUCACAUGGGGCUUACUAUUUUUAACAUUUUUUAUUUUUUUUUUGAGAUGAUAUGAACCUGAUUAACUAAGCAAACUAUUUUAAAUGGUUGAAAGGAAAAAGGAUACCUACCAAGUUUACCUCUUGGCAAGGCGUUCAGUGUUUUUAAGUCCUCCGAAUGGGACUCUCUGUUUUGUCAGUCGUCCUAGGAUUUGCUGGAUGGCAUAGUCGGUGGUUCCGGCAGCGCCUCCUCUUCGUGUAAUCUAUCUUCUUUUCCUGACUCGGUGCUACAGUCUCCUCAGGACAGUUCUAUUCAAGCUGUAUGUCUUCAGACCUUACCACUUCUCCUUCGUAGUCUGCCCAUCCGUCCUUGAUGAUUUUCCUCCUCUGGUUGUGGUUGUGUCGUCUUCUUCUCAUGUCAAUGACCUGAAAAUCAUCUAGAGAUGUAUGUUGGUUGUAGGGGCAUGGUUCCAUGCAGGAGCUGAUAAGUGACUGAGGUCAUUAUGUUGACGUCAGAUUCGGUGUCGUAGAGUGUCUUUCGAAAAGAGUAUCAUUUGAUUGUGCACUUGGUGCUUCGUCCGUGUUCAUCCGUUAGGUGCAUCAUUUUAUUAGGUGUGGACCUUGACAUCUGCAUCUCUUGAUACGGUGUCACCCAUGUUCUUUGUUUGCCCAGUAGUUCGAAGUGCAGUGUUGGCAAUAUCCUGCUCAGUUGUGUUUGUGCUCAUAGAUCCAGGUCAUUCACUUGGUGGAGUCUGGGAGUUGUAAAACUCCUCCAUGUUUUAUUUGAAGUGUACCUGUUCAUAGAGACAAGGCAGAGAUCAAGUGCAUGGGCCCUGUUGGUGGAAAACACCAACAGAACCAAAAGUGUAUUUGUUCUUCUCUAACCCUAAGCAUAGUGAGCAAGGCAAAGUUGGUGGAUCAUGAGUGUAGCAUUUAAAACAUUUGUCAGAUCAGAUGGCUCAACCUAAUGGAAAGAUAAUCUAUCUAUAUUUGUGUUUUGUUUAUAUCUUCCAAAGAUUGAAUGUGCAACAUAUUAGCUUAUAUGAUUAGGAGUGUGGGAUCAUGAAGGUAGUACUAAGAACAAAGAUUAAAGGACUAAACAUGUUGAAUUAAUUGGGUUGGUUAAUUUGGAGCUACAAAUCAUACAUGUUUGUCUUUUUUAUUCAUGUGUAUGCUAGAACUGAGGAGAAGCUUAUAAAAGUGAUAGUCAAGUACCUUAAGGUGUUACCUUACUUGAAGAGUGAUGGUAUAUUAUCACCUUGUGGAAGCUUUCCAUUCUUAGCGGUUGUGCAUCGUGUUUGUGGCACCUUCCAUGGAUCAUCUCUUUAUGAUGAAUGAGCUAUGUCCUUCUUGUGUAAAUUGUUAAACUUCAUGUGUCUCCUUUAUCUCCAACGUGAGUUUGUAUCUUAGGACUUCCCAGGUUGAUAUUGAAAGUUUUCCUGCAGGGGUUAGUCCAACAAAAUAUCCCAUAUCUACUAUAGCAUACUAUCGGCUCAAAAAUCAACCUAGACACUAUGUCUAAUUUGAUUUAGAAGGGCAUUUUAACCUAAGCACCAUGCUUAAUUUAAAAUCCCUUGGAAGUAAGAUCAUCAUUCCUAAACUAAGCACCAUGCUUAAUUAAGAGAUAAAUGAAACUACUCCAAACCUAGACAUAUACUAAAGCCAAUAAAGGUAGUAUGAGAGCAUUUAUAGAGAUCUACUCAAAUGGAGAUGAAGUAGUGUGAUUAGUAUUUAACAAAUUGAUCAUGUCUCAAAGGUAGGGACAACCCACAUAGCAACACGGCAAAGGAUGUUUUUAUGUAAAGUACUCCCCCAAGCUUGAAUUUUGCAAAAUUCAAGUUUGGAUCAAUUUAAUUCAAUGUUGUAUGAUGUUUGGUUGGACAUACCUUGUGCUUGUCAUUCAUCCGAUCUUCUUGCUCCAAUCCUGGAAAGGUUAGUGACAAGAAUACCUGAAGGAAUAUUUUUACAAUUAUCCUUAUAUGCUCAAUACACAAGGUAAUGUUGCAAAUAAUUAGAAGUUCAUGUUACGAUCUGAUAGGUGCUUGUUUUAGGACACUAAGCUUGUCCUUGGGAAACCAUCAAAUGUUGGUGAAGUGGUUUCCCCUCCAACACCAACCUAAAUCAAGAUCAACUCAACGAGAUCUGCAAUAUUUAUUAUAGACAUAUGCAUCGACGACCACCCUUUUAAAGUUUUUAUAAAUAGAAAGGAAGAGGGGGUUGGAGAUCUCAAAUGUGGUGAUGUUGGAGAGACCAAUUGAUUGGAGAGAUGUUUUAUAUGAGCAAGGACUUGGUGAGGUAUUUAUGAAAUAACUUCCAUGCUCACUGUUGUUUCUCUCAUUCUCAAACUCCAAGGAUGAUUCUUCAUGAAUGCUUAAAAUUCCUCUCAGAUUGUCUCUCAAGUUUAUUUUAUCCAUCCAUUCAAUGGUGAUAGCACAUGGAUUUUUAAUGCCCUCUAGCCAUUGAUGUUGCUCUUCUCGAUCCUCCUUGUGGUUUUGGUGACUCUUAUGCAUGGGAUGUCUAGAGAGAUGCAUAGGAUCAUCGGGAGGUUCAAGAGAAAGAGCAUAAUAGAAAUUAUUAGGCUCAAGGAUGGGUUGGAUAGCCGAAUUAUGGGAUUGAAAUGUUUGGAAAUCGGCUAUUGAAACUUCCUUUCCUCGUCAGGGAGAUGAUUCCUUCUCUAUCUCUAGGAUUUUUUUAUGAAGACUAGUGCAAGAAGGAUGUCCACGGAUGAAGACAUACCUUGCUUUACUAACAGAUAAAGAAAGAAAAACUCUACCAAAGGUUAUAUGAUUAAGACCAAUGUGAAAAUAUCGAGGAAAAACAUGGUCUUGUAGGGCUAGGUCUAAACUAGAAUUUAUAGAAAGAUUAAAAUAUUCCCUAAGUGUAGCUAAAAGUUCAUUAUCUUCUUGAUUAAAAGACAGGAUCUCGGCGAGGGUUGGUUUUGACCUAUUGCAAUCAACUCCGGACACAGAUCAUAAUUAGGGGCAAAGAAAGGACUUGUUGACUCCCAUGGUCUAUGGCUGGUCUCUGUUGACACUUGCUAACACCACUUGAAUACUAGGUUGUCAUCCCCAGCAUGGCACUAGAGUGUACUAUGGUAUUUAUACGCACACAGAUAAUCCGCAAGCGCACGGAUACCGUUAUAGCUUAUCCACAGGGAAACGGGGGAACCAACUACGCUCUAACUUAACCAAGAUAGAUAGAUAAGUGUAAUUAGGAAAGAUAGUAGAAUCGAAUAAGAACAAUAUUAAAGGUAAGAUAACAGUGAGUGAUAAUAUGGGAAUAGAGAGUAGAGCAAUCUAAUAUAUGGGCGAUGGUAGCAGAAUAGAGAGGAUAACUAUGGUUUCUCUACUUCAAAGGGAUAUGUCUAUGUCUGGAACAAACCACGUGAUAAUAUUAGACCACAAAGGAUGCUUAUCCAUAGGCCGAUAAACCCUACCCGUCCUGCUAACGAGAGGUGGAAUACAGAGGACCAACGUAACUGUCACCUACGUGGCCUACCACACGAUCCAGCUAGACAGGGGAUAUCCACAAGUAAUCUAGGUCUAAGCACCACGCUUACACCUAUACAACAACUCCAACCUAUAGGGUCCUAUAGAUUAGAAGUACUCAAAAGAGUUAUGAACCAGAACAUACAUGAUUAGUAAUUGCAUAAUGAAUUAGAAGUAGAUUACCAGAGUCAUCCCAUGAGCAAGCUUGAUUAGAGCCUAAUCAUGGCGAAGUACAACCGGAGGAAGAACCGACAGGCCGGCCUCUCCUCUAAUCCUCCUUCGCUCUCCAUCUUGCUACUAUCUAGAUCUACUCUAGUUUAGAGAUGAGAGGAGAGCUCUCAUCUCCAAACCCUAGCUUUUGCUCUGUCUAUGAAUAAUGAAUAAUGAUCAAGGGGUGCCUCCUCUAGGGGCCAGGGGGUCUGGUUAUAUAGUCCCCUCAAGUGAACCUGGGCCGUCGGAUCAAACCGACAUUGAUUGAACGGUUAUCCUUGAUCCUUUAGGUCGGUGGAGAGUAAUCCCCGAAGAGAGUCCUAUUUGGACUCCAAGUCAGGGCGGGCGCCCAAGGAAGGAGGGCGGGCACCCUUCCUCUGGGCCCUUUUGGCCUCUGCUUCCUUCCCGUGGCUUCUGGAGUCUUCUAGAUGAUAGAAAAUUGCGCGGCAUGUUAAUAUCUCUAUGUAAACCUGAUAUGUGGGCCUUUCCUUCAUAUUUCCCGAUAACCCCCUGCAGAAAUAGACAAACACCAAAACUCGUGGAAUUCUGUGAGAUAAAACCCUAUGUCUGGGUGUUGGUUGUAUUUGGAUCCUUUUCUUUGUUUAUUUGUUGAUUAUAUUUGGUACUUAAGGACCGUCAACAACUCUCCCAAGCUUACCUCUUGCUCGUCCUUGAGCAAGGAUGGACUCAAGAGUUUCUGCAGUGAUUUUAUGCUUUAAAGGUACACAUGCGUUCAAACAAGAUCUCGUCUCUAGGUUAAGGUAAAUUGUUAAGACUUAAACUUACUCAUAUUACCUUCCACCAUGGGGCUUGCAACUGUCACUUGUGUCUUGAGCAGUUAAAAGAUAGAAUGGUCAAGUCAAGCACCAUGUCUCUUGUUCUUUGAUCAACUAUAGCUCUGGAGUUUUUGUAAAUUUUCAAAUAAAACUCAGAGAUUCCUUUAUGACUCUCUCUAGUCUCUCUUUUUUGGUAUUUCUGGAUCCUUACCAAGGCAGUGAUGAUAUAUGCCUUCUCUCAAGGUAUGUGGUAUUUUUGGUAUGAGGCAUAGUGACAUUGCCUUCUCUCUCACCCUACUCUAAUAAGGUUUUGAUAUCUGGAGCUCAUAGGUGGGAGACAGCUGAUCAUACUUACAAGACAUUUAUUGCAUAGUCAAACCAUGGAUCUAGAGAAACAAGCCAAUAAGUCAAAUCAAGAUGUGCAUGUGUGGCGAAUGAAUGGUGUAUGGUGAUGAUGGUUAAAACAAUGGUGAAAGUCUAAUUCUACUUUUGCUCUUUUGAGGGGAUACAUACCUUUCUUGUACUUUGAAGCUUUUUGAGAAGAAUGAGAUGCUCUAUAUUUUCUUUUUCUUUUUUUUUCUUUCAGGUGGGUAUCUUGUGCCUCUAAUUCUACUAUCGGACACUUAUCCAUUUUUACCUCUCGUCACACUCUUUUUUUUCUUCGAGGUUCCGGGCACUUGCCCAUUUUUAUUUCCUCGUAUUUUUUUUCUCUUUUUUUCCGAGCACUCACCCUCCUAGAAUAAUGUAGCAAGUGGUAGUAACCAAAAUGUCAAGCGCAUUUAUUUCACAGGAAAUAACAGGGAUAGGAUAAUGUUUUUGGCUAUUCUCUCCCGGAUAGGAGUAGAAUAAUUUUGGGUGAAUCUGGAGAUGGAAAUGAAUGGAUGUAUGUAGAUGCGUACUUUCGGAGUAGAAGCAGCAUUUAUGAGUGAACGUGCAAGUGAAUCUUGAUUUUAACCGCCUGACAAGCUCCCAAGGGUCUACACAGCUUGACCACACUCAAUGCUAAUAAGCAGUAAAUGUAUGGUUUAUAGUCUAAUAAGCAUGUAUAUAUGGCUGUGGUAGGAUUUUAAACUCUCAUCAUACAGGAACUCAUCAUGCAACAUUUUAAAGAUUUUCAAAGAUAAAAUUCUCCAGAAUUCUAGCAUCUCUAGGAAUAGAUAAACAACAGCUCAACCUUCCCAUAUAAUAUCCGUUAACGACUUAGACUUUAGAUCAAGUACUCUUCCCACAAGUUCAGGUUUAGAGCAAAUCUUAAUUCAUAACAGUCAUGCCUAAACUUGAGAGAGAUUUCAAUUUUGAGAACUAGUCAUGACAGAGCAACUAUUCAUCAUUUCCAUGUGAGAGCUUAUCAUGAGGGUUCAUAGCAAACUUUAUUCAUUUAUUUAUUUAGCAAACUAAGCAAAGAUAUAUAUAUAAGCACAAAAUCUUUAUUUGAGUUUCUAUGAUUAUGCAUCUUUUUAUUAUUUGAGUAAAGUAUAAACGCGAGUAGAAACACUUAGCUGGAUAAAUGGGGGUGCUCUCCCCCAAGCUGGAUUUUGACGUAAUUUCUUCUGAUGUAGCUAGCAGGUGGCGAAGGUGUAUUUGAAUGUCGGUAGCACCCUGACAGCGAUUAGGAUGUCCUCCGUCUGCUAGUCUUCUUUGAUCCUUGAAUUCUGUGGAGCUCAAAUAGACAACAAAGCUUUGUGGAACUAGUUAAGUGUUAGCAUAAAUAUCUAGCCUUUAUCAUGUUGAGCCUCCUUAAUAAAUGUUACUCUCUUUAGUAGGAUCAUAAUCUUAUUUUUAUAUUUUCAUUUUUAUAGGACAGAAAUAUAUUUAUUUUUAUGCCACCACAGUAAAUGUACUUAUGGGUUUUAUGCCACGAGCAUACUCACAUGGGGCUUACAAUUUUAUGAUGCAGUGCAAUAAACAAAUAUUUUUGUUUUCUUUUCUAAUGCUAAUGUAGAAAAGUAAAUAUGCUAAUGCAAGUGAUGGAAUAAAAAAGGAAAAGGAAUGCAGAAAAGAUAAAUAUGGAUAAAUACCGAUUUUACCUUCCGACAAGGAUCCAAUGUUUUAAGUCUUCUGGACAAGACUUCUCACCGUGUUCAUUCUUUGGGUGCGCCAUUUGAUUCAGGUGUGGACCUUGAUGUUUGCACCUCUUGAUACAGUGUCACCCAUGUUCUUCGUUUGCCCAGCAGUUCAAAGUGCGACGUUGGCAGUAUCUUGCUCAGUGUGUUUGUGCUCGUAGAUCCAAGUCCUUCACUUGGUAUCGUCUGGGAGUUGAAAAAUCCUCCAAGUUUCUCACAAUGUGUCCUGCUCAUAAAGACAAGGCAGAGAUCAAGUGCAUGGGUCCUAUUGGUGGAAAACACCAACAGAACCAAAAGUAUAUUUAUUCUUCUCUAACCUUAAGCAUAGUGAGCAAGACAAAGUUGAUGGAUGAUAAGUUCAUGAGUGUAGCACUUAUAACAUUUGUCAGAUCAGAUCGCUCAACCUUAUGGAAAGAUAAUCUAUGUAUGUAUAUGUCUUUUCCUUUAUAUCUUCCCAAAGAUUAAAUGUGCAACAUUUUAGCUCAUAUGAUUAGGAGUGUAGGAUCAUGGAGGUAGUACUAGGAACAAAGAUUAAAGGACUAAACAUGCUGAAUCAGUUGGGUUGGUUAAUUUGGAGUUAUAAAUCAUAUAUGUUUGUCUCUUUAUUUCAUGUGAACACUAGAACCAAGGAGAAGAUUAUAAAAGUGAUAGUCA